rnacentral:other from 1 species
UAUUCUCUGCGGCAUGCUUGAGACAUGUGAGCCGAGGGAACAAUUUAAGGAUUGGGAGCCUGCGUAUGGACGGCAGUGGACCGCACUGCUUGCGAAAGCAAAAAGUCCUAAGCAUCCGUCGGGGCACCCACUUAAAAAAGAGCCUCCGGCUCGGCAGUCUCAAGGUGCUGCGGAGAACAU